rnacentral:rRNA from 1 species
GUAGGGCGGGACACGUGGUAUCCUGUCUGAAUAUGGGGGGACCAUCCUCCAAGGCUAAAUACUCCUGACUGACCGAUAGUGAACCAGUACCGUGAGGGAAAGGCGAAAAGAACCCCGGCGAGGGGAGUGAAAAAGAACCUGAAACCGUGUACGUACAAGCAGUGGGAGCACGCUUAGGCGUGUGACUGCGUACCUUUUGUAUAAUGGGUCAGCGACUUAUAUUCUGUAGCAAGGUUAACCGAAUAGGGGAGCCGAAGGGAAACCGAGUCUUAACUGGGCGUUAAGUUGCAGGGUAUAGACCCGAAACCCGGUGAUCUAGCCAUGGGCAGGUUGAAGGUUGGGUAACACUAACUGGAGGACCGAACCGACUAAUGUUGAAAAAUUAGCGGAUGACUUGUGGCUGGGGGUGAAAGGCCAAUCAAACCGGGAGAUAGCUGGUUCUCCCCGAAAGCUAUUUAGGUAGCGCCUCGUGAAUUCAUCUCCGGGGGUAGAGCACUGUUUCGGCAAGGGGGUCAUCCCGACUUACCAACCCGAUGCAAACUACGAAUACCGGAGAAUGUUAUCACGGGAGACACACGGCGGGUGCUAACGUCCGUCGUGAAGAGGGAAACAACCCAGACCGCCAGCUAAGGUCCCAAAGUCAUGGUUAAGUGGGAAACGAUGUGGGAAGGCCCAGACAGCCAGGAUGUUGGCUUAGAAGCAGCCAUCAUUUAAAGAAAGCGUAAUAGCUCACUGGUCGAGUCGGCCUGCGCGGAAGAUGUAACGGGGCUAAACCAUGCACCGAAGCUGCGGCAGCGACGCUUAUGCGUUGUUGGGUAGGGGAGCGUUCUGUAAGCCUGCGAAGGUGUGCUGUGAGGCAUGCUGGAGGUAUCAGAAGUGCGAAUGCUGACAUAAGUAACGAUAAAGCGGGUGAAAAGCCCGCUCGCCGGAAGACCAAGGGUUCCUGUCCAACGUUAAUCGGGGCAGGGUGAGUCGACCCCUAAGGCGAGGCCGAAAGGCGUAGUCGAUGGGAAACAGGUUAAUAUUCCUGUACUUGGUGUUACUGCGAAGGGGGGACGGAGAAGGCUAUGUUGGCCGGGCGACGGUUGUCCCGGUUUAAGCGUGUAGGCUGGUUUUCCAGGCAAAUCCGGAAAAUCAAGGCUGAGGCGUGAUGACGAGGCACUACGGUGCUGAAGCAACAAAUGCCCUGCUUCCAGGAAAAGCCUCUAAGCAUCAGGUAACAUCAAAUCGUACCCCAAACCGACACAGGUGGUCAGGUAGAGAAUACCAAGGCGCUUGAGAGAACUCGGGUGAAGGAACUAGGCAAAAUGGUGCCGUAACUUCGGGAGAAGG